rnacentral:rRNA from 1 species
ACUCAAAUGAAUUGACGGGGACCCGCACAAGCGGAGGAUGAUGUGGUUUAAUAUGACGGUACGCGUAGAACCUUACCGAGGCUUGACAUCCCUGGAACCCGCUGGAAACAGUGGGGUGCCGCAAGGAACCAGGUGACAGGUGCUGCAUGGCCGUCGUCAGCUCGUGUUGUGAAAUGUUGGGUUAAGUCCCGCAACGAGCGCAACCCCUAUCGUAUGUUGUAUUUUUCAUGCGAGACUGCCCGGGCCAACCGGGAGGAAGGUGGGGUCGAAGUCAGGUCGGCAUGGCCCUUACGCCUCGGGCCACACACGUCAUACAAUGGCCGGUACAACGCGCCGCGAAGCCGCAAGGCGGAGCUAAUCGUAUCAAAACCGGUCUCAGUUCGAAUAGGAGGCUGCAACUCGCCUCCUUGAAGUCGGAUUCGCUAGUAAACGUGGGUCAGCACACCACGUUGAAUACGUUCCCGGGUCUUGCACACACCGCCCGU